AUUGAACGCUGGCGGCAGGCCUAACACAUGCAAGUCGAACGAGUGGCGGACGGGUGAGUAAUGUCUGGGAAACUGCCCGAUGGAGGGGGAUAACUACUGGAAACGGUAGCUAAUACCGCAUACCAUCGGAUGUGCCCAGAUGGGAUUAGCUUGUAGGUGAGGUAACGGCGCACCUAGGCGACGAUCCCUAGCUGGUCUGAGAGGAUGACCAGCCACACGGGAACGGAGACACAGGGCAGACGCCCACGGGAGGAAGCAGUGGGGAAGAUGGCACAAGGGGCGCAAGACUGAUGCAGCCAUGCCGCGUGUAUGAAGAAGGCCUGCGGGUUGUAAAGUACUUGCAGCGGGGAGGCGUUACCCGCAGAAGAAGCACCGGCUAACUCCGUGCCAGCAGCCGCGGUAAUUC
rnacentral:rRNA from 1 species